rnacentral:rRNA from 1 species
AUGCAAGUCGAGCGGUAACACAGGGAGCUUGCUCCUGGGUGACGAGCGGCGGACGGGUGAGUAAUGUCUGGGAAACUGCCUGAUGGAGGGGGAUAACUACUGGAAACGGUAGCUAAUACCGCAUAACGUCGCAAGACCAAAGAGGGGGACCUUCGGGCCUCUUGCCAUCAGAUGUGCCCAGAUGGGAUUAGCUAGUAGGUGGGGUAACGGCUCACCUAGGCGACGAUCCCUAGCUGGUCUGAGAGGAUGACCAGCCACACUGGAACUGAGACACGGUCCAGACUCCUACGGGAGGCAGCAGUGGGGAAUAUUGCACAAUGGGCGCAAGCCUGAUGCAGCCAUGCCGCGUGUAUGAAGAAGGCCUUCGGGUUGUAAAGUACUUUCAGCGGGGAGGAAGGUGUUGAGGUUUAUAACCUCAGCAAUUGACG